rnacentral:rRNA from 1 species
UACGGGGGGGGCAAGCGUUGUUCGGAAUUACUGGGCGUAAAGGGCGUGUAGGUGGCCAACUAAGUCCGACGUGAAAUCCCCAGGCUUAACCUGGGAACUGCGUCGGAUACUGGAUGGCUUGAAUUCGGGAGAGGGAUGCAGAAUUCCAGGUGUAGCGGUGAAAUGCGUAGAUAUCUGGAGGAACACCGGUGGCGAAGGCGGCGUUCUGGACUGUAUCUGACACUGAGGAACGAAAGCCAGGGGAGCAAACGGG